rnacentral:lncRNA from 1 species
CAGGAGCAAUGAAAGAGAACUACUGGAAACUGAAUCAUUUGAGUGAAGAAUAGAGGAAAGUAAUUGUUGGAUCCAUUCAUAUUUCAAAUGAGACCAAACUCACAGCCUUUUACCCUCAUCUACAGCACCUGCUGCCAACUGUUCAUCUGUCUGAGUCCUAAGCCAUGGCUUAGUAUGGAACUGGGAAGGCUUUUGAAAUCGAGGCAGACCAGAUGGAUCUGAUGUAUACUGAGUUCUAG